AAGACCAUAGUCAAUCCCAUGACGUGUGAGUUGCAUUCACAAAGAGUUACCUAUGUAACUGGUUUUA
rnacentral:tRNA from 1 species